rnacentral:rRNA from 1 species
UUGACCUCAAAUCAGGUAGGACUACCCGCUGAACUUAAGCAUAUCAAUAAGCGGAGGAAAAGAAACUAACAAGGAUUCCCCUAGUAACUGCGAGUGAAGCGGGAAAAGCUCAAAUUUGAAAUCUGGCGGUUCUUGACCGUCCGAGUUGUAAUCUAGAGAAGUGUUACCUGUGCUGGACCGUGUAAAAGUCUCCUGGAAUGGAGCAUCAUAGAGGGUGAGAAUCCCGUCUUUGACACGGACAACCUGUGCGUUCUGGUGCGCUCUCAAAGAGUCGAGUUGUUUGGGAAUGCAGCUCAAAAUGGGUGGUAAAUGCCAUCUAAAGCUAAAUAUUGGCGAGAGACCGAUAGCGAACAAGUACCGUGAGGGAAAGAUGAAAAGCACUUUGGAAAGAGAGUUAAACAGUACGUGAAAUUGCUGAAAGGGAAACGCUUGAAGUCAGUCACGUUGGCUAGAAAUCAGCCUUGCUUCUGCUCGGUGUACUUUCUGGUCGACGGGUCAGCAUCAAUUUCGACCGCUGGACAAAGUCUUUGGGAAUGUGGCAUCCUCGGAUGUGUUAUAGCCCAUCGUCGCAUGCAGCGGUCGGGAUUGAGGAACUCAGCACGCCCGCAAGGGCCGGGUUUCGACCACGUUCGUGCUUAGGAUGCUGGCAUAAUGGCUUUAAUCGACCCGUC